UACGUAGGUGGCAAGCGUUAUCCGGAUUUAUUGGGUGUAAAGGGCGUGUAGGCGGGAAAGCAAGUCAGAUGUGAAAACUCAGGGCUCAACCCUGAGCCUGCAUUUGAAACUGUUUUUCUUGAGUGCUGGAGAGGCAAUCGGAAUUCCGUGUGUAGCGGUGAAAUGCGUAGAUAUAUGGAAGAACACCAGUGGCGAAAGCGGCUCUCUGGUCUGUAACUGACGCUGAGGUUCGAAAGCGUGGGUAUCGAACAGG
rnacentral:rRNA from 1 species